rnacentral:misc_RNA from 1 species
GAUGAAGAACGUAGUGAAAUGCGAUAAGUAAUGCGAAUUGCAGAAUUCCAGUGAGUCAUCGAAUCUUUGAACGCACAUUGCGCCCAUUGGUAUUCCGAUGGGCAUGCCUGUUCGAGCGUCAUUUCAACCCUUAAGCCUCUGUUGCUUAGCGUUGGGAGCCUACCUACCCGGUAGAUCCUCAAAGUUAGCUGGCAGGGUCGAGGUUCGCCCUAAGCGUAGUAGUUCUUUCUCGCUUCUGCGGCUGCCUAGGCCAUCGCCACAAGACUUUUAAACUUCAAUGGUUGACCUCGGAUCAGGUAGGAAUACCCGCUGAACUUAAGCAUAUCAAUAAGCGGAGGA